UUUCAUUCAAAGUUCCAUUUAAUUUCUCCAAUAUGGUAGAAUCACUUUGAAAUCUAAUUCAGCUUUUUGCAUGCCUGCAUGCAUUUCCAGCUCCAAACCACCUGCAGAUGGAUGUUAUCCCUCCCCCAGAGCCUCCACUUUACAUCCCCAAUGACAGCUGCUGCUGAGACCCUGGGGCCCUUCUGAGAGAGCUCGUCUGGGAGCUGAGGAUGGGAUUCCAACAGGACAUGUCCCCCUGGCUGCAAGGGCACGUUCAGCCCAGGUGACAUCCCAUGAUGUCUUUGAGAAGCAACUCUUGUGAUCUGAUCUGGCACUUCUAACAGUGGACUGCCAGCUGGAACACAACCUCACCCCACUUCUUCUUUGGCUAUUUUGUGUCUGCUGCCCUAGGGUGACCUUUUGUUCCUGUGAAAAGCAAACUGGAGGCUCUGCAGAUGAUGAUGUCAGGAUCAGUCAGCUAGCAGCAGCACGGAUCUUCUCAGCCGUCCAAACAAACAGCAGUCGUUAUGAGCCCAGGACAAUUUAAGUGUAAUUUAAUAGAGACACCUCCAUCUAUCUCUGUCAGGUGAGCUGACACCAGGAUCCCAGUGAACACAGGAGGCAGCCGGUGCUGUGCAGCACUGCUUCCCUCUCCCCUUAAUGGUGCCUGGUGCAGGCAGUGCACACAGCUGGAGAGGCGCUGACCUUUCCUGGAGGCAGCGGAGUGCUCAGCUCAGAGCCUUCUGUUUUCCUUGCUCGCUUUGCUCCCCGUGCUUCGUUAGGCAGGCACUGGAGGGGCAGGUUAAUAAAAGGCGAGAUUUAGCUCAGCCACUGUGCAACAGAGCAGAAAAGCCAAAAUCGAUCAGCUGACCGUUCAGGUAAUGUGUAGCCACAAGCUUCAUACUCUGCUGCCUGGAGGGGGGGCGGUGGGGAGGUGGUGUGUGCCCCAUUGCUCAGUGCAUGCAGGUUAGGCGUGUGCUUGCAGUGCUUCAUGUUGGCUAUUAGGAAACGGUUCUUUCCUGCAUUGGCACAGAUACACAGGGAGUGGGAGGGCUCACCAUCCACAGAGGUGCUCAGAGCUGUGGGAAUGUGGCACUGUGGGACGUGGGCAGUGGGCAUGGUGGGGUCGGCUAGGGAUGGGCUUGGGGAUCUCAGAGGUCUUUCCAACCUGAUUGAUUCUGCAGUUCUGUGACAUGGCACUCUGCGCCCAGCAUCCUGGGUGUCUCUCUGUGCCUGCCUCACCUUCUGAAGUGGAAAAGGGGGUUUGGGUAAUGGUUACUUAUGGUGAGGUGGAAGGAAAUUUUAUCAGUGCAGCACCUGCCUUGGGAGCUGGGUUAGGAUUUCUAUCUUACUGAUAGUAGUUGCUCUGUGUAAUAUUCAGAAUUAAAUUCUUAUGAUAUUUUCAUCAGCCAGGCCAUUGCUGUCCAACCCUGUGGCUUGCCUGGGCCACACUGAGUAAAGAGGAACUGUGGGCCACAGGUGG
rnacentral:lncRNA from 7 species